GAUGAACGCUAGCGGCAGGCUUAAUACAUGCAAGUCGAGGGGCAGCACAGGUAGCAAUACUGGGUGGCGACCGGCAAACGGGUGCGGAACACGUACGCAACCUUCCCAUAACUGGUGAAUAGCCUUCCGAAAGGGAGAUUAAUACACCGUAACAUAUAGAUGUGGCAUCGCAUUUAUAUUAUAGCUUCGGCGGUUUUGGAUGGGCGUGCGGCUGAUUAGGUAGUUGGCGGGGUAACGGCCCACCAAGCCUCCGAUCAGUAACUGGUGUGAGAGCACGACCAGUCACACGGGCACUGAGACACGGGCCCGACUCCUACGGGAGGCAGCAGUAAGGAAUAUUGGUCAAUGGACGCAAGUCUGAACCAGCCAUGCCGCGUGAAGGAUGAAGGCCCUCUGGGUUGUAAACUUCUGUUAUCU
rnacentral:rRNA from 1 species